rnacentral:lncRNA from 1 species
UUUUACCUAACUUGACAAAUAAAAUUGGAUUUUUAAGGAUCCACUUUAGUAAGCAUUUCUGCAAAACAGAGUCUUUGAAUAUUGAAAAGCCUUACCUUGACUCCCAUAUAACCAGCAUACCCUUGAGAGUCUUUUCUUUAGUCGGGUAAGUCUUGCUGAGUAAUUCCAUACUCAGGGUUUUAUUCCCUGUUGUUUUUCAGGUUCUAACUUUGUGCUGUUGUUGAUGGUGUUAAGUGCAGGUGGGCUCGGCCUUCUUAUAAGUCUAAGUAACCCUUCUAUACUUCUUAUUGAGGAUGAUCCCUUGAGCUAGCAUAUAUUUCAAACUUAUACUUUUGUAAUCACUCCGAUAAAAUAAUGUAAAAUUUUUGUAACUUGUAAAAUUUGGUAGUAAGAAUUCCGCUGCAAAAAUGUUGGUGUGUGUGAUUUGUGUUACUUAAUCCCGCGGUUCUGGUUGUAAGUGGUUUAUCCGAUGUCCUUGGGGCAAUCGGACAGAUCCUGUUAAGUUAUCUGGUGCACAUGCACAGCCGUCUGAGGUCUUUGGGACAAGGACAGGUGCAUGUGGACCCAAUAACUUGGGAGGUUCUGCCACAGACUGGUAUCGGAGCUGGAUUAAGUAUAUACGGUCACAUACGUAUUUUCAAAACAAAAGUUUUGGUUUUGAAAAACCUAUUUUCAACUAAACACAUUGUUUGGCUUUGAAAAACAGUUUUGAAAACUAUAAUGCUAGCGACAUCCUCUAUUAAGCCCUAAGUUAAGGACUAUCAGGUGGCUUAGUUGAAAACCAUAACCCACAACCGGGUGGGUAUUGCAUACAUGUGUAUUGUUAUUUUUGAGGCCAUUCAGUUUUGAAUGGAUCGACGCUCAGGUAAGGUGAGUUGUGAGAGCAUGACCGAACAACCGUCGGUCUAGGGAACUGCUUAAUUGUAGCGCCUGAUUAUAUACAUGUUCUACAUAUGUAUAUAUGAAGGCUGCGAUGUGGAGUACUUACUUUUCCGGGAAUUCAGUACCCCAUGGAUGUGUAAGGGUAUACAGACAUGGGAAUACUGAGAAGUGUAAUGUACUUGUAACAACGCACCUACGUUCAGGUAAGAAGGUGAGUUACCAUAAUGAGUUGCCCUAUGGUUAAAGUGUGGCAACGGCGCCUAUGCGUGGCUCGGCGCUUAAUGAUGAGCUGGCCUCCAUAUAGCAAUAUAUGGAGUAUAAACUGUGAUAAAAUGUCAUGUGUGACUUGCAUCAUUGGGAAAUGGGCUGUGAUGGAUUUUUCUGCAGGUACACUAACCUCGAAAACGUAUGUGUAGCUGACGACUAGCAAAAUACCGUGAGAAUCGUACGUAUGCCACCGGUAUAGAACGUUAUUGCCAUAUUAUGUUGGCAAAAUCAGUGAGGACGCAUAGGACGAGCAUGCAUCCUGAUUGUUGCAUCAUGUUUGUCACCUAUACACCCAAAAAUGCUUCUCUCAUCCUUAUUCCAGUAACCAUUGAUUGUAAAUAAUAUGGUGUCUUAAAGCUACAUGUUUAGAUAGCUCUCAGGUUGUUUUAAUUUGACCAUUAGUGCAAAUAUGUUUGCCCUUGUGCUUGAUGUGUCGAUAGAAGGUUGGUGACCUAUUUGCCUAAACCCAAAAUUAGGCCAUGUCCUUAUUCAGUGAACCUAGACCCAAAUUUGAAUUGUCCAUUAUCACUCCAUGACAAAGCCCAUACAAAUAAAUGUUUAGCUACUUUCUUUGUUGGACAUAAAAGUGUACCCGAGCUUAAAACAAGAAUCUAGAGUCAUGUCUCCUUCUAGAACCAUUCCCUUGUUCAGUUGAUGCAUGUUGAGGUCUCCAUUAUAUUUGGCCUCUCCUUGCGGAUCGCCAUGUUGCUUUGUCAACCCAACCUAGGAAAGACAUGUCCAACCAUUUUUUUUCUGGAAUUUGAUGCCUUUGGUUUCCCAUAUCCAUCGAAGGCAUACCAACUUAAUCUUAUGAUUGUUUUCCCCUGUAUCUAGUCAGAUACUGAUCCUUGACCUUGUGAUCUUUACGAUGGGCAUAGAAAUAUGCUUGGGGCUGAAUUAAUAGUCUCCCAUCGUACCCCUUUCAUCAAGUUUAGGUUAUGGCCAUGUCUUGUUCAUUUCAUCGGGCCAUGAUCUAUUUGGCUCUCUACUUGUAACCGUUUUGACAGGUAGAGUCUCUUCGUAUAUUGCCACCCUUGCUCAAUCUAUUGAUGUCGUGCGAGAUUUCUUAUUGGUUAUGUCUGGUAAUGGUGUUAUGACUAAAACCGAUGGCACCGCGCUGAAACCGAGGGCCUCCUGUGGGUGAUCAGCACAUGGUUGCGCUACUUGGCACGCGCUGGUAUCACAGUUGGUAGUUAUAAUCCAUUAUGAGAAUAUAUCAAUAUGUUAUCUUUGCACAAAUUGUUCUUACCAUGUGAGAUUCAUUAUGGGUGCCAGUUUUGUAAUGGUGUCAUGGUUAUGAACUUAUGGUACCGCGACGAAACUGAGAACCUCCUGUGAAUGUGCACCCAGGAUUCUGCUGCUUGGCGCAUGCCGGUACCGAAGUCUCUAGUCAUGAUCCAUUGUGGAACUACACUGAUAUGUUAUCUUCCGUGGACUUCUUCCUUAAAACAAUUUCUAUAUUGUUUGUCAAGUUAUCAAGCAACAUCUAUCAUCUUUGUCGGAUCAAAAGGACAUACCACUUUCAUGCGUGGUCUUAUUUCUUUUGAUCUUGGUAGUGACUACUCAUACAAGUUCCCUUUACAUCCUUUGUGUAAAGGUGAAGCCUUGGAGAUUUUUAGUGUUGAGCGAUAACUAAUUAGCUCUCAAAUUGGAGAUUAAAUUUCUCUGCUGUUGAGAUGCAGGAGUUUGUUCAUUCGCUCUCUUAAUUAAUCCAUGUAUUCCUUAUCCAAGUAGAUAAUUCAUCUCUUACGGAAGAAACGGAUGAACAACCAGACCAAAUGGGUUCCUACCCAAGUGCAUGAUCAACCGUAACAAGAGUGAACUCUCGAUUGUUGGCUUACCGAUGGUACUGAGAGGACAUGCCAAUGUCAAAAGUAGUUCAACAAGUUGGUUUUGACUAACUUGUAACUGCAUUUGAAACAAAGGUUGUGUUUAGAGAUCGUUUUAUCGAUUUGCCUGAACUCACUUAGGCCUAACCCACUCUAAAGAAAGUACUCACAAAAGUUAAGUUAAGUCGACUAAUAACCAUCUAAUCAUCGUUCUAGUCAUGCCUCGGUUGUCUCACGUGUGCUUUUCCAGCAUGGGUGAUCAGAUCGAGCCAUGGUUAGUGCUUGAUAAAACGGACUGGUUGUAAAGUCCGUAUCUACAUACCCCUCUGCUGGUGAUUCUCUAGAAUCUAUACCAUCUUUCGUGGACUUGAAUUCUCGGGUUAACCACAUGUUAACCGCGAUAGUAUUCGACAUCCACACCCGUCCCCUGUGCUAUGAAUUUCCUGUAACCACUUGUUGGUAAACCUCUUUCUGUGUGUUUUACCCAAGAGAUUGCAUCAGGUUCUGUUUGGGUAAAGUCGUAUAUCUCCCGCUCGCUCAACAGACUCAGAUAGUACAAUGUCAUCAGAAAAAGCAAACUGCACACAUGAAACCUUGUGUGUUCCUCUGGCAGAUAUCACCUCUAUUGUUGGACAUCUCUAAAUUGGCCUAAGGCAAUAUAUGUUAUGUCCACUAGAGAAACAAUAUCCUGAGACACUCGCCUUUAAUUGGAAAUGUCUCACGAUUAUUACUGAUAUGAACAUGGGUUACAUACUUCUCUACUCUUAAAAGUCUUUCGAUCCGAAUCUCGGGACGAGAUUCUUUUAAGGGGGGAGGGCUGUAACACCCCAGGUGUUUAUAUUCCGCUCGACAACGAGUAUAAAUUUAAGCACGUAAUAUCAGUGGAUAAACCAGAUGUUAAAUUUUAAUUAUCUUCGUCCAUCGCGAAUUUAAAAUCGCAUCUGUUCCAUCUAUCGCGAGUUCGAUAUCAUUUUUAUUAAUCCGGGCUCUUCCUAAAUUUUCGUGCUGUUCGGAACAUAUUUGUUCUGAAAAUUGGUGCGUCCGGUGAUUAUUUAAAAUUAAUCGCUCGCGCGAAUACGAAUUCGGAAGCCUGACUCACUCGGAUGAUUUUAUACCGAACAGAUUAAGAAGAACUCGACGAUUAAAAUGUCCGAGGCAAAAUAAUCUGUAUCGCGCGUUGUCCGAGGAAAAUCGUGCGCGAAGUUAUGACCCAGUUUAUCCCCUCAGCACGACCUCUAUUUCUUUCACGGCAGCGUGCCUAGCUGCUUCUCUCUCGCGCAGACCUCUCUCCUCCCCUGCAAACCGUGGUCGAGCUCCCCUUCUUCCUCCAACUGCGGACGGCCGAGCUCCUCGCGCGGUGCUCAGAGCCCCAGCGCCGGCCGCCCCUCUGUGCCCUCUACCCUGCUCGUAGAGCUCCCUUCCAUGGCGUGCCGUGAAGUCCCCUGGUGUUUCCCCGCCGCGCUCUGCUCGGAUUCCUGCUGACUAUGGCGCCCUGCUCUGUUCGCCCUCCCAUCUUCUCUGCUCCCUGCACGGCUCUUCCUUCUCUAGUGCCGCGCGCCCGUCUCCGCGGUUCCCUGGGCCUGCCGCGCCCUGGCUCGUACCCAUGGCGGCUUCCCCAUGGCCGUGCCCAGCUCCUGCUCGGUCCUGCUCGUCCCUUCCCCUGCUCGCAGCUCGCCGAGUUCUCCCUCCAGCCGCGACCACCAGUUUCCUCCCCAUGGGGCUUCCCAGCCAUGGCUGAGCGCCCAACCGGAUCUCCCUGUGUCGUGCUCUCCUUUCUGCGCCGCGCCCCUCUGCUGCUUGCUCUGGUGCUGCGUGCGCAUUCUCCCAUGGCGCCCGGAUGGAUCCCCUGCCGAGCUCGUUUCCAUGGUCGCCGCGCGCCGCGGUCUCCCCUGAGCUCCCUCGCCGUGGAUUCUUCCGCGCGUCCAGCCGUCGAAGCCUCCAGCUCCCAGCCGGCCGGAGUUCCUCUGCUCGGUCCCUGUAGCCCGCCUGUUCGUCGUCGUCUGUGGCCGGCUCUAAAUCCUACUGACCAGUUUCUUCCCCAGCGCCGCAGUCUCCCCCAGUUCCUCUGCGCGACACUCCUUUGUUCCGAGCUCGCCGUAAAGCUCCCUCUGCCCUAGCUAGAUCUCCCUGCGCACCCCUGGAGUCUCCUCGCCGCGCGCCCUGGCGUUUGCCGUGGCCACCGCGCCGAGCUCUUCGCUGUUGUCCGUGCGUGCCUGCCGCUCGCCGAGCUCGUCCAGGAUUCCACCUUCCUGCGUGCGUGUCUGCAUGUGCGCGCCGUGCUCCUACUGCUUCCUGUGCGCGUAGCCGUGUCUACUCCUUCCUCGCCGUAGUCCCUGCCCGCGUCGAGCUUUCGUGUCGAGCUCUCUGCGCACGCGCAGCUCGCUCUUUCUUUGUUUGCCGCGCGCACGAAUUUUAUCGCGUGUCGAGCUUCCGCACCAUCAUCGCUGCUGUCGCAAGCUCAUUAGCCACAGUUAUCUUGACCGCGUCAGCACGCGACCGUGGUCGUGUUUGUCGAGUUCGCCAACACUAUGUUGCCGAUUCGACUGUCGUCGCUGUUGUGUGCCUCGCUGCGUGCUCGCCGAGUGUUGUCGGUUGUACGUCGGCGCUCGUGCUUGCCGCUGGCUCGCGUUACCGCUCACGCGCCUGCUCGUUGUCACUGCGUCGCACUCACUCUUUGUCCAUCGAGCUUCACGCGUGCUCGCGUUUGUCGUCGAGCUGUUGAACCCGUCCUCCCUUGCUCGUGACUUCAUCGUCGCUAGAACCCUCACUAGAUUCGUGUCCUCGCCAGCUCACUCCAUAUUCAAUCUCGUCGGCGUUCCGCGCGUCAGCAAGAAAUCUCAAGAGUCGGGUGAAGACGGAGCCAACAGCGUGGUGUUCACCAAGUGCGCGACAAAAAGCUCGGACAUCCUGCGCAACUCAAGUUCGGUUCAUUGAAAUUAUUCAAUCGAGGAAAAGAUCUUCAACAAUUGAUUACCGAAGAAAAGAAGGCCCCUGGAUGACGUCAACCGGAAAUCGUCGUCGUGCUUGCGACUAUCGCGUCGAAUUAGUCAGGGUAAGUUGAUUCGUUUUCCUAUCAACUAGAUCUAUAAAUAGAUUAAUAGAAUUAUUAGUCACGAUAAUUGUUAUUAAUUUAGUAUACGCAUAUUGUGAUGUUCGAUUUAGAUAAAUAGGUAAAUCAAGUAAUUAAGAUACACAAUUUAAAGAGUUAAUAAAAAGCUAGUUAUUAAAAUAGAUAUUCUAGUGUUAUUAUGUCAAUGGAUGUAGUCGAUGCCCUGUUGUGAUAUCCAUGGUGCUUAAUGUUUGGUUUUAAGUGUUUCAUCCUGUUUAGUGUAGAUUAUCUAUAUUAUACUCGUGCUCAUACAUGUGCAUCAUGCAUCUCAUGAGGUACGAUAAAUAAUCGCGCGAUGCGGAAGACAAGCCAAGUCGACCCCAAGCGCGGACUACUCCGCAGGAUGAAGCUGAUGGAUGAACCGGAAGAUGGAUAAUCUGAAUGAGUGUCAAGCCAAAGGAUACUCGCCAAGUGGUCGCCUAACAAACACUAACCUAGUGUUACUCAGGCAAGCCCCGGUGCAUUUGCCACCUUCCUUGAGGUUUUUAAAAUCUUUCUCACUUGAUUGCUGCAUUAGGUGAUAGGAGUUGAUUGAUAAAACAAUUCCUGCAUUACCUUCCUUGAAUUUGAUUACCUUCCUUGAUCACCCGUUUUACAAAAGAUUUUGAUGCUUAGCCUUGCUUUAGAAAACAAAAUGUUUUGUUUUUACAAACUAUGAUGUGGCAAAGGUGGGUGGGAUGUUUUCGAAAAUAAAACUUGAUGGUGGAUCUGUCAAAGGCUUUGAUGGAUUCAACAUCGGAAAAGAUGUACCUUUGCCAGGUACCAAACUUUGGGUUUGAAAUAAUUAAGCUGAGACCGGGCGGGUGACUUGCACGAGAAGAGAGUCUCGGUGUAGUGUCUCCGUCUGAGUCGAUUAAGGACCUUGUCGAUGUAGGCCUGCUGACCGAGGACCCUUUAACUGGUCACAUGCCUCGUCAUGGGUAAGCCUUGCCUCGGGUAGACUAAGGCCAGAAUAAGAUAACACGAAAUGGGCGUGGAGCGGUGGCGAGAGUAGCGUGUACCGUCCGUGGCAAGAGGCUGGACGGUGGUGUAUCUGUGCUCUCGGUUUGCGUGAACCUGAUCUGGUCUUAAGAACCCCGGUGGCGGGUUGACAUAUGCAAGGGUUAAGUGCUACAUAUGUCGUGUGAUUGGAGAUCCUCAGCUGAGUAUAAUCGAUUCGGAUCGCCGUACCUCCGCGGUUAUGGAGACUUGGCCACUGACUUACACGUAGCAUUCCACUAAAGAUAAAGGGUUUUUGUUGAGAAAUUGGCUAGUACAGGACCAGUGAUUGAACUAGGGUAGAAAGAACUCUAGUGCAGGUAAUUUUACCUAACUUGACAAAUAAAAUUGGAUUUUUAAGGAUCCACUUUAGUAAGCAUUUCUGCAAAACAGAGUCUUUGAAUAUUGAAAAGCCUUACCUUGACUCCCAUAUAACCAGCAUACCCUUGAGAGUCUUUUCUUUAGUCGGGUAAGUCUUGCUGAGUAAUUCCAUACUCAGGGUUUUAUUCCCUGUUGUUUUUCAGGUUCUAACUUUGUGCUGUUGUUGAUGGUGUUAAGUGCCGGUGGG